rnacentral:misc_RNA from 1 species
CUUCGGCUUGUCACUUGUCGCCAUCUUGAUGUUUCUUCCUGCUACAUGAAGGUGUUGUUGUUCGAAGUGGAUACUCGUCUGCGAAUUAAGUUUAUUGUUGGCGUUCGUCUGCGCAGUACGCCCUCAUGAAUCGUGAGAUUUCUGCCAUGCGGCGCUCCACGGGGUUCGAACUAGGAGAAUAUGUGGAAGUUCGAGAUAUUUUUAUAUCAGCCAGGUCAAGUAUUCUUUUCCAUGGUUUGCUACAAAAAUAUGAUGCAUUAUCUGAUAGGAUGCGCUUAGGUUUUCCUACUUGCGGAGUCCACUUAUUCACUAUGCAAUUUGCUAGGACUUCCCCUGUUAGCUUACCGAUGGGAAAGAACAUGGUGUAUUUAGAGAAUGUGCAUGUUAAUACGAAUAUAUAUUUCUUCCCAUGUUGUGCUAGGGGUAGAGGACCAUAAAUGUCGGCUGAUACUAACUCCAAUGGGGCGGUCGGCAAUAUAGGUAUCAUUGCUCCCCUGACUUGAUAUUUUAAAUGUUUGGUUUUCUGACAUAGGUCGCAUGCUCUUAACACUUUGACUACCUUUUUGUGCAUACCUUUCAGAUAACAGGCUUCUUUUAGUGUACAUAUCGUUUUUCUUACUCCAAAGUGGCCAAUUCUCUCAUGCGUUUCCUUAAUCACUUCUUCCGCU